rnacentral:rRNA from 1 species
UACGGAGGGUGCUAGCGUUGUUCGGAAUUACUGGGCGUAAAGGGCGCGUAGGCGGCCGUUUGCGUCGGAUGUGAAAGCCCGGGGCUCAACCUCGGAACGGCAUUCGAUACGGGACGGCCGGAGACCGGGAGAGGAGAGUGGAAUAGCCAGUGUAGAGGUGAAAUUCGUAGAUAUUGGCUGGAACACCGGUGGCGAAAGCGGCUCUCUGGCCCGGUUCUGACGCUGAGGCGCGAAAGCGUGGGGAGCAAACAGG